GAUGAACGCUGGCGGCGUGCCUAAUACAUGCAAGUCGAGCGAACGGACGAGAAGCUUGCUUCUCUGAUGUUAGCGGCGGACGGGUGAGUAACACGUGGAUAACCUACCUAUAAGACUGGGAUAACUUCGGGAAACCGGAGCUAAUACCGGAUAAUAUUUUGAACCGCAUGGUUCAAAAGUGAAAGACGGUCUUGCUGUCACUUAUAGAUGGAUCCGCGCUGCAUUAGCUAGUUGGUAAGGUAACGGCUUACCAAGGCAACGAUGCAUAGCCGACCUGAGAGGGUGAUCGGCCACACUGGAACUGAGACACGGUCCAGACUCCUACGGGAGGCAGCAGUAGGGAAUCUACCGCAAUGGGCGAAAGCCUGACGGAGCAACGCCGCGUGAGUGAUGAAGGUCUUCGGAUCGUAAAACUCUGUUAUUAGGGAAGAACAUAUGUGUAAGUAACUGUGCACAUCUUGACGGUACCUAAUCAGAAAGCCACGGCUAACUACGU
rnacentral:rRNA from 1 species